rnacentral:rRNA from 1 species
UACGUAGGGCGCAAGCGUUGUCCGGAAUUAUUGGGCGUAAAGAGCUCGUAGGCGGUUUGUCGCGUCUGCUGUGAAAACCUAAGGCUCAACCUUGGGCUUGCAGUGGGUACGGGCAGACUAGAGUGCGGUAGGGGUGACUGGAAUUCCUGGUGUAGCGGUGGAAUGCGCAGAUAUCAGGAAGAACACCUAUGGCGAAGGCAGCACUCUGGGACGGUACUGACGCUGAGACGCGAAAGUGUGGGGAGCGAACAGG